rnacentral:rRNA from 1 species
CGCAUCUGUGCAUGCAGCAUAUCAAUAAGCGGAGGAAAAGAAACUAACAAGGAUUCCCCUAGUAAUGGCGAGUGAAGCGGGAAGAGCUCAAAUUUGAAAUCUUAAAGGGUUUCCCUUUACGAAUUGUAGUUUAAAGAAGUGUUUUCUGUUGAGGUUUUGGUAAAAGUUCUUUGGAAUAGGACAUCAUAGAGGGUGAGAAUCCCGUAUUUGACCUUUACUUUCAACUUUGUGAUACACUUUCAAAGAGUCGGAUUGUUUGGGAAUGCAGUCCAAAAUGGGUGGUAAAUUUCAUCUAAAGCUAAAUAUUGGCGAGAGACCGAUAGCGAACAAGUACCGUGUGGGAAAGAUGAAAAGAACUUUGAAAAGAGAGUUAAACAGUACGUGAAAUUGUCAAAAGGGAAGCGUUCGACACCAGUGUUGUUUUUCUGAAAAUCAAUUAAAGAACUGUUUAUGCUAAGUUGUUUAGACUUUAUUAGCUAACUGUUUAGUUUUGAGCUUUUCUUUAACGCACUUUUCAGUUAACAAGUCAACAUCAAUUUCUUUUGCUGUAAAAAAGCUUGAGGAAGGUGGCUUGAGAUUCGUCUUAAGUGUUUAUAGCCUCUUGCCUAUGCAGUCGGAGAGAUUGAGGUCUGCAGCGUAGAUCCUUCGGGGCUAAAUACAUUUGUGCUAAGUUAUAACAUUUUAUAGACAACUUGUUGACUAUGAUUUGUCUUGUAGCUUACUCGCUUAUGUUAUUUUACCUACGCUUAGGAUGUUGAACGCGCACAGAGUCUC